rnacentral:lncRNA from 1 species
UUGGAUAUACCCAGCGUCCAACAACUGCUUUAAUUGCUUCCUCAAUUCCUCCAACUCAAGAGGUGCCAUCUGGUGCGGUGCUUUGGCAGGGGGUUUGGCACCCGGUUCCAACUUAAUGACAUGAUCCUCCUCUCUCCUAGGUGGUAAGGUUUUGGGCAGCUCUUUGGGCAUGACAUCUGCAAACUCCUUGAGGACUGCCUUCACAGCUUUCGGGACUGGCUAGACUUCCUUCUCAACUAAAUCCAUUUUCAUAAUUGCAAGGAACGUCGGUUCGCCCAUCUUCCAAGACUUGGAAAAUUGCAUGGCUGACAAAAGCUUCGUCUCGCCUUGUUGCCUCACCACUGGCACCAUGCAUGGCAUUGUUCCACACUGUGUAAUGCACAUAGUAUUGUACAAUGGAAUGGGAAAUGCCUUUACCUUGUCCAUGAAGUCCAUUCCUAGCCCGACAUCGUAGUCAUCCAUCGAGGUCACGGAGAAGUCAGCUACUCCCUUCCAAGUGGCAAUGUGUAGCUCCACACCACGAGCUACUCCAUCAACGAGCUACUCCUUUGAGACUCGACACCUAAGUCUCUUUGCUUCCUGUACGGACAUAAAGUUGUGCGAGGCACCCG